GAUGAACGCUGGCGGCGUGCCUAAUACAUGCAAGUCGAGCGAAAAGACGAGGAGCUUGCUCCUCUGACGUUAGAGGCGGACGGGUGAGUAACACGUGGAUAACAUUCCUAUAAGACUGGGAUAAAUUCCGGAAAACGGAGCUAAAAACGGAUAAUAUAUUCAAACGCAAGGUUCAAUAGUGAAAGACGGCUUUGCUGUCACUUAUAGAUGGAUCCGCUCCGCAUUAGCUAGUUGGUAAGGUAACGGCUUACCAAGGCAACGAUGCGUAGCCGACCUGAGAGGGUGACCGGCCACACUGGAACUGAGACACGGUCCAGACUCCUACGGGAGGCAGCAGUGGGGAAUCUUCCGCAAUGGGCGAAAGCCUGAUGGAGCAACGCCGCGUGAGUGAUGAAGGUCUUCGGAUCGUAAAACUCUUUUAGUAGGGAAGAACAAAUGUGUAAGUAACCAUUCACGUCUUGACGUUACCUAAUCAGAAAGCCACGGCUAACUACGUG
rnacentral:rRNA from 1 species